UUUCCCGUAGGUGAACCUGCGGAAGGAUCAUUAUUGUAUAACCGAGGUGCGAGGGCUGUCGCUGACCCGAAAGGUCGUGCACGCCCGAGUGCCCUCACACACAUCCAUCUCACCCCUAUGUGCACCACCGCGUGGGUCCCCCUUUGGCUUGUUCGGAGGGGGGCUUACGUUUUCACACAAACUUUGUAUGCAGUGUAGAAUGUAUUUUUUGUUUUUGCGAUCACGCAAUCAAUACAACUUUCAACAACGGAUCUCUUGGCUCUC
rnacentral:misc_RNA from 1 species